rnacentral:sRNA from 1 species
CCUUUUUGUGAUAAUUCAAAGGGGAAUGAUAACCCAUUCACAUCAAACAAAUAAUCCCCUUAUCGUAAACUUGGGAUUUCCCAAAAAAUAUUUUAUUUUUCCCAUAAAUUUGUUCACAUCGUUUUUGCUGGGGAGCUUUAAACAUGAGCCGAAGUGUGAACAAAAAUCAACACGAGAUUUUACUCAACAAAAUGCAAAAUAACAGAACAAUUGCGUGUGGCUUUGUCAAAAUUUCAAAGGACGUUAUGACAGAAUUUUGGAAUAGUCUUACAGAGGAAUUGAAUAGCCCUCCUGUUAAAAACGUGUCAAGAACGUUGUAAAGAAUAUUUUAAAUUGUUUCAAAUGCACAAUUAAACUUUAGGUGUGGAUAGAUCAAAAAAGAUAUGUUCGUUCAAAAGCAGCCACAAAUUUUAAAAACAGCCGGGAUACGGGUGGUGGUCCAAACAAACCAAAGACGCUUAUGCCUAACGAGAAAUGCAUAUACGAUCUUGUUGGAAUGAAGGAAUCAAUAAAGGGCAUAAAAAAUGCAUCUACGUUUAGAUUACCUGCGCACACUAAACCCAAUAAUCCGCCAACGUCUCCAUACAGCUUGAGGAAAUCAUUGAUUAUUUGGAUGAGAGUCCUAGAUGAUCCAAACAGGCAACACCACCACCACCUAAAGAAACGCCGCCACCUAAAGAAACUGCUUCUGCUAAAGAUUCUCUAAAGCGCA